CCCACCCCCUCAACCAACCCCCCCCACCUCCUCCUCUUUUUUUUUUUUUUUUUCCCCUUUUCCUUGCUAUAUUCCCUAUUUAUUUUUUUAACCAAAAAAAAAAAAAAAAAAAAAAAAAAAAGAAGAGAGAGAGAGAGAGAAAAAAAAAAAAAAGAAAGAGAGAGAGAGAGAGAUGUUUUAAAAAUGCAAGCGGCUUGCCCAGCUGCACACACCCGCCCUCCCUCGGCCGCCUCCCUCCCUCCCUGCGCACACACCGCACGCUCGCACCCGCUCGGGUGUCAAACCCCGCCGGGCACCCAGCCUGGUGCGGGCACUGCCCCGGCCCCCCCGGCCCUUCCCAGCGCCGCCGACCGGAGCCUCCCCCGCUUCCAAAUGCUCUUCCCACACUGCAGUCAAUGAAUCUCUAAUCUCCUGGACUGAAAUGUCUGACACUUCCAGAAUCCUUUAUUUGCUGCCUCGACUCGCAGAGCUCCACCUACAGCAGCGCUCAGCAGUGGGCUGGUGGUGAAUCUGAUGGAAAUGUCUGGUGGUAUUGGGGUGGGAGGGAGGGAUGGAAGGACAAGCAGGGGCUCUGCUGUGCCUCUCACACCACCCUUGCAGCCAGGGCUGUCCCCACCAGCAGCUGCUGAAGGACCUGAGGGACCAGGAGUGGAUGAGCUCUGCCUGAGUCGAUUCCUGGCUGCUGAAUAAAUUGAGUUUAUUCCACGGCUGCUCCCGACCCAAGCCAGGUGCUCUGGGCUGUUGCAUCCCUCUGGAAGGUGGACAGGAGGGCAAGGAGGAGAAGCUCAGCCCCUGAGAGAAGUCUGCUCCAAGAAGCUGAGCUUUCCCUGGAAGCUGUUUUUGGUGCACCCUUCCCACUCGCCUGCCCUGCUGGCAGCUCCACUCUGAGGAUGAAUUAUGCCAGAAAUGCUGUGAGGCACCAGAAACGCUGAGGAUGGAGAAGAGUCCUCUCAGUGAACUUAUUUGUGGAUAAAGUCACUCUCACCUGGAUUGCAGCUCCUCCAGAGCAGGCCACGAGCUGUGGGAAGGAUCACAACUUCACCAGGGGACUUUGGGUUGCCUUUGGUGUGCUUGUAUCAUGUGUGAACAUGCAGAGAGCUUGGUUUUCCACCAGGAACCCAGUAAAUGGCACCUCUGUCAAUCA